GAUGAACGCUGGCGGCGUGCCUAAUACAUGCAAGUCGAGCGAACAGACGAUGAGCUUGCUCCUCUGACGUUAGCGGCGGACGGGUGAGUAACACGUGGAUAACCUCCCUAUAAGACUGGGAUAACUUCGGGAAACCGGCGCUAAUACCGGAUAAUAUAUUGAACCGCAUGGUUCAAUAGUGAAAGACGGUUUUGCUGUCACUUAUAGAUGGAUCCGCGCCGCAUUAGCUAGUUGGUAAGGUAACGGCUUACCAAGGCAACGAUGCGUAGCCGACCUGAGAGGGUGAUCGGCCACACUGGAACUGAGACACGGUCCAGACUCCUACGGGAGGCAGCAGUAGGGCAUCGUCCGCAAUGGGCGAAAGCCUGACGGAGCAACGCCGCGUGAGUGAUGAAGGUCUUCGGAUCGUAAAACUCUGUUAUUAGGGAAGAACAAAUGUGUAAGUAACUAUGCACGUCUUGACGGUACCUAAUCAGAAAGCCACGGCUAACUACGUG
rnacentral:rRNA from 1 species